CAGAAAGCCACGGCUAACUACGUGCCAGCAGCCGCGGUUAUACGUAGGUGGGAAGCGUUGUCCGGAUUUAUUGGGCGUAAAGCGAGCGCAGGCGGUUUUUUAAGUYUGAYGUGAAAGCCUUCGGCUCAACCGAAGAAGUGCAUCGGAAACUGGGAAACUUGAGUGCAGGAGAGGACAGUGGAACUCCAUGUGUAGCGGUGAAAUGCGUAGAUAUAUGGAAGAACACCAGUGGCGAAGGCGGCUGUCUGGUCUGUAACUGACGCUGAGGCUCGAAAGUAUGGGUAGCAAACAGGAUUAGAUACCCUGGUAGUCCAUACCGUAAACGAUGAAUGCUAAGUGUUGGAGGGUUUCCGCCCUUCAGUGCUGCAGCUAACGCAUUAAGCAUUCCG
rnacentral:rRNA from 1 species